UACGAAGGGGGCUAGCGUUGCUCGGAAUGACUGGGCGUAAAGGGCGCGUAGGCGGCGUGGUAAGUCACUUGUGAAAUCUCUGAGCUUAACUCAGAACGGUCAAGUGAUACUGCUGUGCUAGAGUGCGGAAGGGGCAAUCGGAAUUCUUGGUGUAGCGGUGAAAUGCGUAGAUAUCAAGAGGAACACCUGAGGUGAAGACGGGUUGCUGGGCCGACACUGACGCUGAUGCGCGAAAGCCAGGGGAGCAAACGGG
rnacentral:rRNA from 1 species